rfam:Culex pipiens quinquefasciatus supercont3.51 genomic scaffold, whole genome shotgun sequence.
AAAAUGGCCCUUUUCAGGGCCAAUUCAUACGAAAGAGUAUUCU